CUCAAAAAGCCAGGAGGAUCCAAGCAGAUCAUUUGCCAGACGGAUGCUCGAGACUCUUGCAGUAAUUUGGGCAAAGAUUUCCACAGUGCAAAAUAGAAAAAACAACUGGCAAAUAGCUGUACAAAUUACAGUCCAUUUUCAUCAUGGAAUGUCAGUUUGGCAACAAUGGCAUCGAGGCCCCAAAGCAGCUCUGCAGUAGGGGGGUUCCUCCUUGGUGACUGGAUGGGCACAGCCAAGCACAGGCUCCUGAAGAUCCCAGCUCCAGGAAACAUCAGCAUGGUUCAUUGCAUUGUCCACCUGAAUUCUUCACCCCUCCCUGUGGCUGUGUCCAUUGCCCUGUAGUGUUGCAGUUCCCCUCAGGAAAAAGAUAUCAUUUACUUCUCUGACCCUUGAUUUGGAGCUUGGCUAUGUGACGUGCUUUGGCCAAUGGGAUAUUGGAUGACACAACAUAAGGAGAGACACAGAUAUGCAUAUGCACAAUGCAGCUUGCCUUUUUAUGCUUCUCCCUUCACCACGAAAAGAGCUUUCCCUGGGGGUAGCAGCUGUCCCUGCAGCCUGUGUUCAGAAUGCACAAAUGUGAGGAGCCAAGCCCAGCCAGCUUGAAAGUGAGUUGCCAGGCCCGGCGCAGUGGCUCACACCUGUAAUCCCAGCACUUUGGGGGGCCGAGACAGGCAGAUCACCUGAGGUCCGGAGUUCGAGACGAGCCUGACCAACAUGGAGAAACCCAGUCUCUACUAAAAAAUACAAAAUUAGGCCUGGCGCAGUGGCUCACGCACACUAUACUUAAACUGCUGCAAAUGAAAGACAAGGAAAAAACAUUAAAAGCAGCUAGAGGCAGGUAGGAGGGACACAUUUCUUCUUUUCUUUUUUCUUUCCCCUCCCUCCCUCUCUCCUCCUUCCUGCCUCCCUCCUGUCGUUUUCUUUUGUAGAGUGGGGGAUCUUGCUCUGUUGCCUGGGCUGGUUUUGAACUCCUGGGCUCAAGGGUGCUGGGAUGACAGGCAUGAGCCAGCGCACGUUACUGACACAUUACUCUCAAAGGAGAAACAAUAGCACUGAAAAUCACUUGUCAACAGAAAUGAUGGAAGUGAGAAGAUAAUGGAGUGCCAUUCUGAAGUUCCUCAAAGAAAAAAGUGUCAACCUGUAAUCCUAUAUUCACAAAAUAUACUUAAAAAUGAAUUUGAAAUAGAUGUUUCUAUUCAAAAACUGAGAAAGGCUGGGUGAGGUGGCCUGUAAUCCCAGUCCUUUGGGAGGUCAAAGCAGGCAGAUUGUUUGAGUUCUGGAGUUUGAGACCAGCCUGAGCAACAUGGUGAAAUCCCUUCUCUACAAAAAAUACAAAAGAAUUAGCCAGGUAUGGUGGUGCCUGCCUGUAGUCCCGCUACUCGGGAGGCUGAGGUGGGAGGACUGCUUGAACCUAGGAGGUUGAGGCUACAGUGAACCAUGAUCAUGCCACUGCACUCCAGCCUGGGCGACAGAGUGAGACCCUGUCUCAAAAACAAGCAAACAAAAAAACACAAAAAAACCUGAGAAAAUUUGCUGUCAGCAGAUGUGCAUACACAAAAAAUACUAAAGGGAAUUCUUCAGGUAGAAGAAAACUGAUCUAUGAUAGAAUCACAGAAAUGCAGGAAAUAAUAAAAAAAAACAGAGUGAAUAUGUGGGUGAAUACAAAUGAAUAUUGACUGCACAUAGCAAUAAUAAUAAUGUCUCAUUAGGUGUAAAAUAUAUGUGAAAUUAAAAUGAGUAAUAAUAAUAUACAUGCAAGAGUAGAAUGGAGGUAAAUAGAGAUUGAGUAUUGUGAGAUCAUAGCAUUGUCUGGGAAACAAUAAAAAGUAAAAUUUGUAUUAGAUUAUAAUAAUGUACAGAAGUUGUAAUCUGUGGAGGAAACCACUGAAGAAAUUAUAAAAGAAUGUGUAAGUAGAACCAAUGGUAGGGGGGGAAACGGAAUUAAAAAAAUAAUCAGAAAGAAAGCAACAGAAAAGAAAAAAAUAAAAACAAAAAUGGGUAAGACAAAUGGAAACAAAUAGUAAGAUGGUAUUUAUGAACACAACUAUAUCAGUAAUUACAAUAAAUGUAAAUUCACGAAAUACACAAAAGACAAAAAUUGACAGACUUGAUUAAAACAACUCUAUUCAAGAGACAUGACAUCAUUAUAAGAACACUGAAAAUUCAAAAAUAAGGGGGAAAGUGAAAAAAAUACCACUGUGAGUGGUAGAGAAAGCCAUUUCACAUAAUAAAGGGUUCACUCUACCAGAAAACGUCAAUUUUAAAUGGGUAUGAACCUAAUAACACAAUCUCUAAAUGCAUAAAACAAAAAUUAACAAAACUCAAAGGAGAAAUAAACAAAUUCAUAAUAAUAGUGGCGGGCUUUAGCCUCUCUCAGUAAUUUAUAGAAAAACAGACAAAAAUAUCAGUAAAGAUGUAGAUAAUUUGACCAACCUGAUUAACAAACUUGACCCAGUUGAAAUACACAUAACACCUGCACACAACUGCAGAAUGCACAUUCUUUCAAGUGCAAGAACAUUAUGAUAAGAAUAUUAUAGGAAAGUCUGUCAUAAACAUAGCUUAUAUAAAAAUGUAACAGCAAAUUAAUCUAAAUUUUAUUUAUUUAUUUACUUAUUUUAUUUUUUUGUUUAUACUUAUGUCAUAGUUUAUAUAAAAAUAUAACAGCAAAUUAAUCUAAAUUUUAUUUAUUUAUUUAUUUACUUAUUUUAUUUUUGGAGACAGAGUCUCGCUUUGUUAUCCAGGCUGUAGUGCAGUGGCGUGAACAUGACUCACUUCAGCCUUAACCUCCUGGGCUCACGCAAUACUCCUGCCCCAGCCCUCCAAGUAGCUGGGACAACAGGCAUGUGACACCAUACCUGGCUAAUUUUUGUGGUUUUUGUAGAGACCGAGUUUCACCACGUUGGUCUCAAAUUCCUGAGCUUAGACAAUCUACCUGCCUUGGCCUUCCAAAGUGCUGGGAUAAUAGAUGUGAGCCACUGAGCUUGACUUAAAUCUAAAUUUUAUUUUAUUUUAUUUUAUGGCCAUGCUCCCUCUAAUAAAUCUAAAUUUUAAAUAAAUAAGUCCAAGUAUUAUUGUGUUUAUGUGUAUAAACCUGUGCACACACACAAACGCGUACACACCCUGCUGGUUUCUAUUACAAGAAUGUUAAGUUUGGUUUGACAUUCAACAGUCAAUUAGUAUAAGUCAUCACAUCCAAAGAAUAAAGGAGAAAAAUAAAAUUAUUUCAAAAGGUGCAGAAUAAGUAUUUGAGAGAAAUUUAACCUCAUUUGUAAUUAAAAAAAAUCUUUUUAACAGCUUGAGAAUAUAUGUUAAUGAGUACAUUAAAAAUCCUAUAACAACCAUCAAACUUCAUGGUGAAUAUUGACAACUCUCCACAUGCCACACCCACCACCCCUGAGAUUGAGGAUGAGACAAGAAUACCCACUAUCACUACUUAUAGUCAGCAUUCUGCUGGAGGUCCUAGCCACUGCAAUUUGUAUACCAAUUUUAUAUCUUGCAACCUUGCUGAACUUAUUAGCUCUAGUAGUUUUUUUGUGUGUGGAUUCCUUAGGAUUUUCCAUAGACAAGAUUAUGUCAUGUGCAGAUAUAGUUUUACUUCUUUCUUUAUGAUCUGGAUCACUUUUAUUUCUUUAUCUUGUCCAAUUGCUCAGCCCCUGCAGUUUGGCAAGAGCUAAAUAAGGCAUAAAGAUUAAGAAAGGAAGAAAUAAAACUGUCAUUCACAGAGGACAUGAUUAUACAAAAAUAAUCUGCAAAUUAUUAUAAUUUAAAUGAAUGUCACAAGGCCACUCACUGGAUAACAAGGUCAACAUAGUUUUGUAGCAACAGAAUCUGUAUAUACUAGCCAUAAACAAAUAUAAAACGUCUAAGAAUAAAUCUAUUGAAGGAUGUGCAAGAACACUUUACUGAAAACCACAAAAAUAGUUCUGAGAAACAUACAAAAGACUUAAAGUGAAGAGAUAUACCAUGUUAAUGAAUAGGAAAAUUGAAUAUUUUAAUGAUGUCAAAUGGCCCCCAAAUUGUUCUACAUAAUCAAUUAAAUCCAAUAAAAUUCUAGCACUUUAUUUUGUGGAAAUUGACUAGCUGAUUCUAAAGUGUUUUAUGGAAAUGUAAAGGGCUUCUUUCUUCUGGAGUUGCCUUGUGGACAGGAUUUGAGACAACCCAGGCCAGGUCUCUCUGGUCCAUGGAAAGCAUGUGUAUGCUUUUUGCCCUGACUAUGUCUGUAGAGAACAACCAAAACAACAACCUCCUCCCCAUCAGAGAGCCAGCUAGUCUCUUGCCAUUUAGAUUUUUCAGGGAUGAGUCAGAGAUACCAGUCUACUCUGUCCUGCAGAAAAGGAUACUUAUCAACUUUUCCACGUGGCCCUAGAAAAGUCACUGCUAGUCAGAAAUCUCACUUUGGAAUGUGGGGGUGGCUGGCAUCUAUCCGGAUGUCAGAUGAAACAGGAACAGUUCCACUGUAGUAGCCUGCUCUAUAAACACACAGAGAACCCCUAUUACAUGUGAACUAUGAAGCUAUUAGAAACUACAGCUUUGUGGACUACUUUGAAAAUGUGCAAGUGGGCCGGGCGUGGUGGCUCACGCCUGUAAUCCCAGCACUUUGGGAGGCCGAGGCGGGUAGAUCAUGAGGUCAGGAGAUCGAGACCAUCCUGGCUAACACAGUGAAACCCCGUCUCUACUUGAAAAUACAAAAAAUUAGCAGGGCGUGGUGGCAGGCGCCUGUAGUCCCAGCGACUCCGGAGGCUGAGGCAGGACAAUGGCGUAAGUAAACCCGGGAGGUGGAGCUUGCAGUAAGCCUAGAUCGCGCCACCGCACUCCAGCCUGGGCGACAGAGCGAGACUCCGUCUCAAAAAACAAACAAACAAACAAACAAAAGAAAAUGUGCAAGUGAAAUAAGUGACAAAAAGCAAACACAAGAUAUUCUGUCCAUACGAAACACUGCGAGGCGACACUUGUAUUUGUAGAUUGACAGAAAUUGCAGGUGGAGUUAAAGAGGUACAAACUCAGUAUAACAUUCAUUGCCUCUUUUGCUAAAGUUGUUUCACUGCAUAAGAAAAAGAUACUGGUCGGGCCGGGUGCGGUUACUCAUGCCUGUAAUCCCAGCACUUUGGGAGGCUGAGGCAGGUGGAUCACCUGAGGCCAGGAAUUUGAGACCAGCCUAGCCAACAUGGUAAAAUUCCGUCUCUAUUAAAAAUAAAAAAAAUUAGCCAGGCAUGGUGGCGGGUGCCAGUAAUCCCAGCUACUUGGGAGGCUGA
rnacentral:lncRNA from 10 species